GACUGCCACAUCCCUUGUCAGCCUUUUGGUGAGGACAACAGGCCAUUUUCACCAAGGAUCCAGCAAUUACGUGGACAUGCGUGGCAGCGAGAGAAAAUCAGCCUCGAGUUAAGGUCCUCAUUCCACCAAAUCUUGAAAACUAAGCUGCAGUAUGGAGUCGCACCUGAUGUGAGGAGCUAGUAAAGUGGGUCAAGGCUAAGAAACAUUCCGAUUCAGCCUAUUGGGUCUGUGUGUGUGUGUGUGUGAGAGAGAGAGAUGGGGGUGGGGAAGGACGUAAAGACGUCGUUGCUCAGUAGGCCGUACGGGCCCGGGCAGAGUCCCCUUCUUGGCAUCUGCCCUGGCAUCAACGCUGGCACAGCCCAGGCACGGAGGUUCUGGCACAGGUGACCCAGCCCCGCCACAGGGGGAACACCGAUGUCUGCCCUUUGCCCAAAGCCCUGGUUCCAGCUCUACCGCCCUUUGCCCUCCCCUGGCCUUCCUCUGUGCCCGGCCUCUGUGGAAUGGGGAGGGAAACGCAAACAAAAUCCAAGAAAGCCAGGGAAGAGCAAGGGAGGACGGAGCAGGGACGGCACGGGGGUGGCGUCUGUCACAGGGGCAGCAAGGUCGGGCAGACCUCUGAGCCACUGCGGGCUGAGCAGGCAGCAGCGGAGACCCACAGUAGAGAAGAGACAUCCACGGGAGGGGGCGUCAGAGCUGAAGUCCCUCCCACUAGCUUUGACAGGAGAGAUUUCUAGCCAGGCCCCUCCAGCCACAGCUCUCUCCAGGCUCACCUGGAUCUGACUGACAAUAGCAGGAACAGGUGUUUGUGCUCAGCCAACCAAGGAGAUGUGUUCGCAGGAGAGGAAUACAGCCUGCCUGUGACCCAGCAGCAUGAAGAGCAGUUAGCGGGAUCCUACCUAGGCAACACAGAUGUAUAAUGAAAGUGGGACUUGGAAGCACCAUGUUCAGUUGCAAGAUCUUGUCCUUAGGAAGGCGGACGGAUAGCACAGCUGCGGCUGGCAGGCCUGCGCGCAGGGCUGCGGUCCCGGGCGCCCGUAGGAGUCAGGACCAACAGGACAGGGGUGAGGGGAGAGGAGGGAGGCGAAGCGGGUGCCAGCUUUCUGGGUGUCUUCCUCGCCCCUCCCCAACCCCUGUUAACUGGAGAAGGCACCAAGUUCUAGGCCUUCGCAGAAGCCGCAGGCGCCCGGGACGGAAGGAAGCGGAUGGAGAGGACCGUGGGCGCUCACCACGCGGAGCCAGGCACGGGAGAGCCCGGCCUGGGGAGAGCCGGGCGGAGUCAGGGAGGCUCCAGAAGCUCGUGUCAGGCCAGGCAGACGCCUCCUCCCGGCUGCCGGCGGAGCGUGCUGGAGCCACCAAAGCAUGGGCCUCCUGACACUGGCAGAGAGACUGAGGGGUCACCGUGCAGAACUGUCUUGGCGCCUUUCCCCACUUUCGCUCCAGGUCCCAGAGUUGUGAGCAGGGGUGUGGUGGGGGAGCAGGGGUCCUCCCCUUCCUUAAGCCCAGCCAGAGAGGAGCCCCUGGCUCUCUCUGCUCCUUUAUUCUCAGUCACCUACCUCUUCAGCCUUCUGUGGGACACCCUCCAGCUCCUCACAUCCCCUGAAGCCUUUCUGGCCCCUCGACUCCCCAGGACUGGCCACCCAUGAGUUGUUCUCAGACUUUUACUCUCACUCAGCAUCUCAUCUCUCAAUAUAUGUCUUCCCAGGCAAACUGCAAAAUAUGAAGAGCCAUGUGUUCUUUUUGCCUUAAGCUUUCGCUCUUUCUCUGAUUAUCAAGUACUCCGGCAGCUUCUCUUGUGUUUAACCCAAAGCAAUAACCCUGUCUGGCCACCAACUGUGCCCUCAAGAAAAUCAGUUCUGAGCUAGUUUUCUCCAUACAAAAUGAGAUUUCUAAGGUCCCUUCCAGCUUUUAAAUUCAGGGACUUUCCAAGGAGAACUAGAAUUGGUUUACUAGACACAGCUGCUCUGACUGCAAUGGUUUUGGGUCUAAAUGCAUUGCUUCUGGAGGUCACUGUUGGGUGGAAUAUGUGAGCAGCUGGCAGGAAGAGAGGCUAAACAAUGACCCCUGGUUCCCUCCCUCCUGGACACUCAUGACCUGUCUCAGUUCUUCUAAAACUGGGUUCCUGGAGCUGUACACAUACAAGGUCUGACUAUUACGUUUGUGAACUUGCCACUGGGCACUUAUGUUGGCAGCGCUGGAAAACAACUCAGUAGGGUUUUGUAACCUGGGUGUAUCAGUGUCUCACAGCUGUGUUUGUGUUCACUUGUGGCAGUGUUUUGCCAAGUGGCCUUCAGUAUUGUUGUGUGCGGUCACAAGAAUGUCAGAGCUUGAAUUAGAGUAAUAAACAAACAUUUGUAAAUUUCUUGUCAAACUUGGCAAGAGUAGAAGUGAAAUCAGGGACAAGUUUAUGGGAAUAAUGCCAUGAAGAAAACAGCAGUGUACAAAUGGAUUAAAUGUUUUUCCCAGAGGAGAGAAAGCAUCACUGAUAAACAGAUGUUAGGGCAGCCAGUAACAAGAGAACUGAUGAAAACACUGCAAAAAUCCCCUCAAAUGGUGCAUCAAAACUUGAGAAGCAUAGCAGACCAAGUAAACAUCAAUAGAGAAACAGUUAGAAAAAUCUUAACUGAAAAGGUUGGCCAACAACUCAUGACUCUUGCAUCAUGACAAUGCACCAGCUCACACAGCACUGUCUGUGAGGGAGAUUUUAAGCCAGUAAAUGAAUAACUGUAUUGGAAACACCCUUCCUACUCACCUGAUCUGGCCCUCAGUGACUUUUUCAUUACCUGAAGAUAAAGGAAAUAUUGAAAGGAACACAUUUUGAUGAAUUCAAGACAUCAAGGGUAAUGCAAUGACACCUUCGAUGACUAUUCCAGAAAAAGAGUUCCAAAAUCGUUUUGACAGGUACACUAGGCACUGGCAUGGCUUCCUAAGGAGAGUACCUCGAAGAUGACCAUAGCGAUAUUCAGCAAUGAGGAAUGUAGCACUUUUUCUAGGAUGAGUUUAUAAACUUAAUUGUCAGACUUCACACGACCAACCUGAUACACAUACUGGCUGAGAUAUUGUGUGGGGAUGGGGGAGGACCUUUUCCUAUAAAUUUAACUCCAAAAUUAGGAAAUUUUUCAGGGAAACUUUUUGCUAGGAAAUUAUGAGAUACAAAAACACAAAAUCAUAGAAACAUCCAGACAGAGCCCACAUUCUUGCAAGUAACUUGAAUAAAAGUCAGCUGUUGACACACGCAUUUUAGGCAGCCUUACGGCCCAGGUCGUUUACCUCAACUGGAUCAUGAAGACAGAGGAAGGUGCUGAGCAGAUCUUCAAACCACCGCUGCACAGCAUGUGUGGUGGCUUUCCAAAGCCCAUGCAGACCAAAUACGAUGGACUUUGGGAUGGUUCACAUGUGACCUUUACUCCAGCUUUGCCCUUUUUUGGUUGUCCAGCCUUGGACAAGCUUCUUAACUUCUCUACUUCUCAGUUUCUUUUCUAUUGAAUAGGAAUAUCUCUGUACCACUGGGUUGAGUGAAUAUUAAAUGAGAAUGAAUGUGUGUCAUUCAGAGUUCUUAAUUGUAAACAUGGGAUUCAAACUGCUAUAGGGACGAUGGCAAUGGAUUAUGGUGUGCUGAGGGACCACUGUCCCUAGAAGGCCAGAGAAUCUGGAUUGGAGGCCAUGAAGCCAGGAAGGCUCCCCAAAUGUCACUGCCAGAUG